rnacentral:tRNA from 1 species
AAAGGGAGACCUAAUUCAGGUAAAAGACGAAAAAAAAGUAGUCGCUACCAAGAAUCAAUCCCAAAAGGUCGGAGCGAGGCGAAAUUGGCUUUCAAACUAGGUUCUGGGUUCAAACAAGACCUGAAUCAGGAACAAGGGCUAUUAGCUCAGGUGGUUAGAGCGCACCCCUGAUAAGGGUGAGGUCCCUGGUUCGAGUCCAGGAUGGCCCACCUGUACAGGUGGCAAAAAGAAAGAAAAGAAGCGAGGAAUCAGCACCUUAUCUUACUUAUAUAGUAAGAGAGAAUGCUGGCUCUGAGUAAAGAGUCCAGAGGAACCUUGAAAACUGCAUAGAGCUAGGUGAAAAAGCCAAAAAAGAAGACCGCAAG